UUCAAUACAUACCCUACUUACAUACAAU
rnacentral:rRNA from 1 species